GAUGUACGCUGGCGGCGUGCCUAAUACAUGCAAGUCGAGCGAACAGACGAGGAGCUUGCUCCUCUGACGUUAGCGGCGGACGGGUGAGUAACACGUGGAUAACCUACCUAUAAGACUGGGAUAACUUCGGGAAACCGGAGCUAAUACCGGAUAACAUGUUGAACCGCAUGGUUCAACAGUGAAAGACGGUCUUGCUGUCACUUAUAGAUGGAUCCGCGCCGCAUUAGCUAGUUGGUAAGGUAACGGCUUACCAAGGCAACGAUGCGUAGCCGACCUGAGAGGGGGAUCGGCCACACUGGAACUGAGACACGGUCCAGACUCCUACGGGAGGCAGCAGUAGGGAAUCUUCCGCAAUGGGCGAAAGCCUGACGGAGCAACGCCGCGUGAGUGAAGAAGGUCUUCGGAUCGUAAAACUCUGUUAUUAGGGAAGAACAAAUGUGUAAGUAACUAUGCACGUCCUGACGGUACCUAAUCAGAAAGCCACGGCUAACUACGUG
rnacentral:rRNA from 1 species